UGUGUUUUGGCAUGUAUGUAAUUGGGAAAAGGCAAUUGAGAGGAAUCUUACUAGUGAUGCCGAGGUUGGUAGGGCCGAUGUGUACAUCAGAGCCCAUACAACAAAGGAUGACAAAUUACAGUUUCCCGAAGCCUUUGAAAAAAUAAAAUCGAUUCAGAGUAGUAAGCCAGCAUCUUGGAUGACCAAUGUAGAUAAUGCCCUCUCAUAGUCAAUUGGGAGUGAUAGUAGAGGGCACAUGCGGGGUAUAGGUGGAAAUGUAGGCAAGAUUGCAUUGAAGAAGACAAUCCUUGUUGUAGAUAAGCUCAAUAUGGUGAUGCAGGAUCGAGAUAAUUUGAAGGAGGAAGCAGGUGAAAUGAAGAAAAGCCUGGUAGACCCCCAUAUGAAGGUUAAUUGUAUUGUAGAAAAGCAAGGGGAACAAGGUGCUGUGGAUCCACCGACAAUACCUCCAUUUAAAUCUAGUCAUGCCUUGUCGGUAUGUAUGUGUUUCUCUAUUACAAAUUUAUGUUUAUGAUUAUAUGCACCUCCAUUUAAAAAUACUAAUGACAUGUUAUAGUUGUACA